UGCUUAUUCGCAAAGGACCGUCCCAGUCGAGUGCCUGUUGGUAGGAACCUAGUUGGCGUCGGGUCUGAGGGGGCGCGGAGGUGGAGGUGGCGGUGACUGAAGCAGGCGUCAGGGAGAGUCCACGGGAGAGAAGAAGCCAUGGACGAUCAGGGCUGCCCCAGGUGUAAGACCACCAAAUACCGGAACCCUUCGUUGAAGCUGAUGGUGAAUGUGUGCGGACACACUUUGUGUGAAAGUUGUGUGGAUUUGCUUUUUGUGAGAGGAGCUGGAAACUGUCCUGAGUGUGGCACUCCACUUAGAAAGAGCAACUUCAGGGUACAACUCUUUGAAGAUCCUACUGUCGACAAGGAAGUUGAGAUUCGGAAAAAAGUGCUAAAGAUAUACAAUAAAAGAGAAGAAGACUUUCCUAGUCUAAGAGAAUAUAAUGAUUUCCUGGAAGAAGUUGAAGAAAUUGUUUUCAACUUGACCAACAAUGUGGAUUUGGACAACACCAAGAAGAAAAUGGAGAUAUACCAAAAGGAAAACAAAGAUGUUAUUCAGAAAAAUAAGUUAAAGCUGACUCGGGAACAGGAGGAAUUGGAAGAAGCAUUAGAGGUAGAACGACAGGAAAACGAACAAAGAAGACUAUUUAUACAAAAAGAAGAACAACGGCAGCAGAUUCUAAAAAGGAAGAAUAAGCAGGCUUUUUUAGAUGAAUUGGAGAGUUCUGAUCUUCCUGUUGCUCUGCUUUUGGCUCAGCAUAAAGAUAGAUCUACGCAAUUGGAAAUGCAGCUUGAGAAACCUAAACCUAUAAAACCAGUGACAUUUUCCACAGGCAUCAAAAUGGAAUUAUUCAGUUAUAAAAGUCUGUUGCAUGUAUUCUGGAUACAAAUUCUCCGUAAAGCAGGGUCAGCAUAUUUCAUUAGCACCCAUUCACAAGCUUGAAGAAGCUCUCUAUGAAUACCAACCACUGCAAAUAGAGACAUGUGGACCACAAGUUCCUGAGCUUGAGAUGCUAGGAAGGCUUGGCAUUUUAUUGCCUAAAUGUCAACCCUCUUUCUUCUGGUUUGGAAGAAGCCAGUAUCACCACUCUUUAACAACAAACAUCCAGCAAGUGGAAAACUAGAUAGUUGGUUGUGCUGGUACAGAGUCAAAAUAUAUUUAAGCUCUGUGUCUAAUAAUAUUUAGUUACUUUAACAUUAUAAGAAUGCCAGUAGUAGUUAUUAUUCUGGUUUGAAGGUUAUGUUGCCAUGUUUUUUUGUUUCUCAGUUUAACUGGUUUUAAAUGUAAAGACAUAAAUCCUAAAGAUUGGGAGUGGAAAAACGGGGAUGGUUUUCAUUUGCUACAAUUUCCUGUGCGACAUGGCUCUAAACAAGGCCCAUAUUUACACAAGACAAUAUAGCUUUACAUACAGUGGUUUAUUCACAUUUUGAAAUUCUUUAACCAGUCGUCUGUAUUUAAUACUUUCAUAGUAAAUGUGUUUAAUAAUGCUAGGUGAAAUUUGAAAUAAUUUUAAAAUAAUUUUACAGUAGAAACACCAGUUAAAUCAACCUUUUGGUAAUAAAUGUCAGAAAAAAAUUAAUUAUUUUUGCUGCCACUGCAAAGUCAAUUGUGUAACUGUUCUUUUUAAACUGACUAUUACAUUACUAAAUUCUGAACGCUGCACUCCUGUAACUUGUCAGAGGCAGGUUUUAGUUAAUAGAUAUUUUCAGUGAUGUAAUGGGAACUUUUGGCAGUGAGUCAGAAUAUAAUGGACUGUGAUUAAUGUUUUAAUAAGUACUUUUCUAUUGCUCAUGAUGUAGAGGAGAAAUGGUUUCCUGUUAGGAUUGAUAGGAGAAUAGCAGGUGUGCAUAUAGAGUUGAAAUAUUUUUCUUAGAAUAACAUUAAUGUUUUCGUAUGACUAAAAUUCAUUAUCAUAGGAGAUGUAUAUGUUACCACAGAAAUCUGCAGUUGAUUUGGAAAAAAACAAUUGAGAUGAUUACUGAUUGACUAAUUAAAUCUUUUGAUUUUCAGCUUUUGUUUUCUUAUGAAGCUAUAUAACCUGAAGUCUUUGUUUGGUAUUCAUUCUUACUGUAAGCUAAACAAGGAAUUUGCUUAAUUGUGGAAUAUAUGAGUUUUAUGCUCCAUUGUUUCUAAAACUUGCACAUUGUUCAAAAAUUUUUUAAAUAAAAAAAAACUUAUC